rnacentral:ncRNA from 1 species
GUGAAGUGGGGAAAUGUUCCAUGUGAACAUCACUUGGACAUGGGUUAGUCGAUCCUAAGAGAUGGGGAAUCCUUGUAUCAAGGGUGCACUCUACAUGAACAUCGAAAUAGAAUUGGGUUAAUAUUCCCGAAACGGGACAUGGUGGUGGACGACAAUGUUAGGAAAUCUGGAGAUGUCAUCGAGGGCCUGGGAAGAUUUAUCUUUUAUUUUUAAUGACUUUCCCACCCUGAAAUCGGUUCAACCGGAUAUAUGGUCCAAUAUCUGGAAGAGAACCACACAUCUUUCAGUGUUUGGUGCCCCCUCAAUGACCAUUGAAAAUAUGGAGAACCGAGUACCAUCCAUGCCCAAUCGUACAAAUAUCUGCCUCCUUGGAUUUUUCAAUGC